rfam:Cavia porcellus supercont2_33 genomic scaffold, whole genome shotgun sequence.
GGGGAUUUAGCUCAGCGGCAUAAGCGCCUGUCUUGCAAGCAGGCAGUUGUGAGUUCGAUCCCCA